UACGAAGGGGGCUAGCGUUGCUCGGAAUUACUGGGCGUAAAGGGUGCGUAGGCGGGUCUUUAAGUCAGAGGUGAAAUCCUGGAGCUCAACUCCAGAACUGCCUUUGAUACUGAGGAUCUUGAGUUCGGGAGAGGUGAGUGGAAUUCCGAGUGUAGAGGUGAAAUUCGUAGAUAUCGAGAGGAACACCGGUGGCGAAGGCGGCGAUCUGGACGAUGACUGACGCUGAGACGCGAAAGCGUGGGGAGCAAACAGG
rnacentral:rRNA from 1 species